UAGAAGAUGACGAGUGGCGGACGGGUGAGUAAUGCUUGGGAACUUGCCUUUGCGAGGGGGAUAACAGUUGGAAACGACUGCUAAUACCGCAUAAUGUCUUCGGACCAAACGGGGCUUCGGCUCCGGCGCAAAGAGAGGCCCAAGUGAGAUUAGCUAGUUGGUAAGGUAACGGCUUACCAAGGCGACGAUCUCUAGCUGUUCUGAGAGGAAGAUCAGCCACACUGGGACUGAGACACGGCCCAGACUCCUACGGGAGGCAGCAGUGGGGAAUAUUGCACAAUGGGGGAAACCCUGAUGCAGCCAUGCCGCGUGUGUGAAGAAGGCCUUCGGGUUGUAAAGCACUUUCAGUUGUGAGGAAAAGUUAGUAGUUAAUACCUGCUAGCCGUGACGUUAACAACAGAAGAAGCACCGGCUAACUCCGUGCCAGCAGCCGCGGUAAUACGGAGGGUGCGAGCGUUAAUCGGAAUUACUGGGCGUAAAGCGCACGCAGGCGGUUUGUUAAGCUAGAUGUGAAAGCCCCGGGCUCAACCUGGGAUGGUCAUUUAGAACUGGCAGACUAGAGUCUUGGAGAGGGGAGUGGAAUUCCAGGUGUAGCGGUGAAAUGCGUAGAUAUCUGGAGGAACAUCAGUGGCGAAGGCGACUCCCUGGCCAAAGACUGA
rnacentral:rRNA from 1 species